rnacentral:rRNA from 1 species
UACGUAGGGUCCGAGCGUUGUCCGGAAUUACUGGGCGUAAAGAGCUCGUAGGUGGUUUGUCGCGUUGUUCGUGAAAACUCACAGCUCAACUGUGGGCGUGCGGGCGAUACGGGCAGACUUGAGUACUGCAGGGGAGACUGGAAUUCCUGGUGUAGCGGUGGAAUGCGCAGAUAUCAGGAAGAACACCUAUGGCGAAGGCAGCACUCUGGGACGGUACUGACGCUGAGACGCGAAAGCGUGGGGAGCGAACAGG